rnacentral:rRNA from 1 species
AACAGGAUUAGAUACCCUGGUAGUCCACGCCGUAAACGAUGUCGACUUGGAGGUUGUGCCCUUGAGGCGUGGCUUCCGGAGCUAACGCGUUAAGUCGACCGCCUGGGGAGUACGGCCGCAAGGUUAAAACUCAAAUGAAUUGACGGGGGCCCGCACAAGCGGUGGAGCAUGUGGUUUAAUUCGAUGCAACGCGAAGAACCUUACCUACUCUUGACAUCCGGAGAACUUAGCAGAGAUGCUUUGGUGCCUUCGGGAACUCUGAGACAGGUGCUGCAUGGCUGUCGUCAGCUCGUGUUGUGGAAUGUUGGGUUAAGUCCCGCAACGAGCGCAACCCUUAUCCUUUGUUGCCAGCGGUUAGGCCGGGAACUCAAAGGAGACUGCCAGUGAUAAACUGGAGGAAGGUGGGGAUGACGUCAGGUCAUCAUGGCCCUUACGAGUAGGGCUACACACGUGCUACAAUGGCAUAUACAAAGAGAAGCGACCUCGCGAGAGCAAGCGGACCUCAUAAAGUAUGUCGUAGUCCGGAUUGGAGUCUGCAACUCGGCUCCAUGAAGUCGGAAUCGCUAGUAAUCGUGGAUCAGAAUGCCACGGUGAAUACGUUCCCGGGCCUUGUACACACCGCCCGUCACACCAUGGGAGUGGGUUGCAAAAGAAGUAGGUAGCUUAACCUUCGGGAGGGCGCUUACCACUUUGUGAUUCAUGACUGGGGUGAAGUCGUAACAAGGUAACC